AAAAAACUAUUUAUUUGUUUAACAUAAAAUAUCCAGUGUGGAAUUAAACUAUCCAGUGUCGCGUCGGUAACCUGGGAACAAAAGGAGUAUUUUACAACAAGCUUGAGAUACACAAAGUUCUUCAACAUUAAAACGUAUCCAGCGUAGAAACUGUACAUUCAGACACGGGGAAACAUUCAGUGUUCUUUCGGCAAGCACUGAGGAAUAACAAAUCCUUCCAUCAAAGCACACUUGGAGAAUUCUUGUCCCCACACCAGCUUUGGGCAUGAAUAUAUCAGACAGCAAAUCUCUGAACCCCCCUUUCUGUUUGCUCUCAAUUUGAUUUCACAAUGAUCCCUCUUUGUUGUUUUAAAUGAACUAGCUAUAGUAAUUCAUCAGUGAAAAACACUCAACAGUGUGUAAAACAAUCUUUGGAAGCUUCUUAUGUACAUCAAUGGUGUUGCCAUAUUAACAAAAUAUGACUUGUGGUUAUUUAUAGGCUAUUGUGUAUCAACCCAAAUGCUUGCCAGUUUUCCAGUGAACAAUCCAAAACAUCCUCCCAUUAUCAAUAAUAUGCAGGGACCUGCAGAACCUGAAUUUCAGUGCUGUUUGUUGAGCUGUGGCAGGCUCCUGACCACCCUCCUCUCCUCAGCUCAACCAAAGCCCACCAGCAUCCAUGGGAGAUUGUCCCAGGCCUCAGCGAGCUUUGGAUCCUGCUCUAGGCAUCACUGUCUCUCAAUCAAAGACCAGCGUAUGAAGAUGUUGCAGCAGGACCAAUCUUGGCACUUAUUAAAUACAUUUUCAAUGCAGAGUUCAUACAAAGUGAAAAGCAAAAAUGCCUUCAAUUAUUUUUUAAUACUGUAAAUGUCACAGGUUAAAACUGAACCACUCAACAGCAUCAAAAGGUUUUGUAUUACCUAUAAAUCUUUACCUGGGAAGUGUUUUCUCUGUAGCAUACACAUGUGCAAAUGUAUGAGAUAUAUCUGCUUCACCUAAACCUCUCUGAGUGCACACUUUGAAGGCCAUUGCAAUGCAGUCCUUUGCCAAAUAUUGACUCAAAAAACCAAAGUGAUGUGUGAAGAUUAACCC
rnacentral:lncRNA from 1 species